GGUUGCGAUCAUACCAGCACUAACGCACCGGAUCCCAUCAGAACUCCGCAGUUAAGCGUGCUUGGGCGACAGUAGUACUAGGAUGGGUGACCCCUGGGAAGUCCUCGUGUUGCAACCCC
rnacentral:rRNA from 1 species